rnacentral:lncRNA from 1 species
GGUAAAGCCAUCCGGCUAUACUUUUUUAAAAAAGAGUACCCCCGCCAUUAUGCGCCACGUGUCACACAACUGUCCUUUGAAAAAAAAUUUGAAAAUGGAGUACGGCCGGGCGGCUGUACUCCUUUUUAAAAAAUAAAAUAAAAUAAAGAAGAACCUCUAACUAUUAAUGCCACGCCUCAAAAUAUAAGUACAGCCGCCCGGCUAUACUAUUUCUUAAUUAAAAAUCGAAGUACAGCCGCCCGGCUAUACGUUUCAAAAAAAACUGGGUAAAGCCGUGCGGCUAUACUUUUUGAAUACAACCCUAGCCUUUAAGCGCCACGUGUCACACACAUGUAUUUUGAAAUUUUUUUUUGAAAAUAAAGUAUAACCGGGCGGCUGUACGCCUUUUUUAAUAAAAUAAAAUGAAGAAGAACCUCUAACUUUUAAUGCCACAUGUCAAAAAAUACGUAUAGCCGCGGCUGUACGCCUUUUUUAAUAAAAUAAAAUGAAGAAGAACCUCUAACUUUUAAUGCCACAUGUCAAAAAAUACGUAUAGCCGAGCGGCUAUACGUUUCCAAAAAAAAAGUAAAACUGGGUAAAGCUGUGCGGCGGUACUUUUUUAAUACAAAAAAGAGUCCCCCCCCAGCCGUUCUGCGCCACGUGUCACACAACUGUCUUUUGGAAAAAAAUUUGAAAAGGGAGUAUAGCCGGUCGGCUGUACUCCUUUUUAAAAAAUAAAAUAAAAUAAUGAAGAACCUCUAACUUUUAAUGCCACACGUCAAAAUAUAAGUAUAGCCGCGCAGCUAUACGUUUCCAAAAAAAAGAGUAAAACUGGGUAAAGCCAUACGGCCGUACUCUUUUAAUACAAAAAAGAGUCCCCCCCCAGCCAUUAUGUGC